rnacentral:rRNA from 1 species
AUUGAACGCUGGCGGCAGGCUUAACACAUGCAAGUCGAGCGGUAACAGAGAGAAGCUUGCUUCUCUGCUGACGAGCGGCGGACGGGUGAGUAAUGCCUAGGAAUCUGCCUAGUAGUGGGGGAUAACUUGCCGAAAGGUAAGCUAAUACCGCAUACGUCCUACGGGAGAAAGGAGGGGACCUUCGGGCCUUUCGCUAUUAGAUGAGCCUAGGUCGGAUUAGUUAGUUGGUGAGGUAAUGGCUCACCAAGACCGCGAUCCGUAACUGGUCUGAGAGGAUGAUCAGUCACACUGGAACUGAGACACGGUCCAGACUCCUACGGGAGGCAGCAGUGGGGAAUAUUGGACAAUGGGGGGAACCCUGAUCCAGCCAUGCCGCGUGUGUGAAGAAGGUCUUAGGAUUGUAAAGCACUUUAAGUUGGGAGGAAGAGCAGUUAACUAAUAUUUGACUGUUUUGACGUUACCGACAGAAUAAGCACCGGCUAACUUCGUGCCAGCAGCCGCAGUAAGAC